rnacentral:tRNA from 1 species
AGCCCUGGGGUGUUACCACGUCAGAUUGCAAAUCUUAAGAAGCAGACUAAUCGUCUGCCGGGGCUU